rnacentral:sRNA from 1 species
UUCUAGCCCCGAUUGCAACGACAUCCUUUUUCUGAAUGGCUUGAAAAAAGCUUUGGCGAAAAAGAUAAAGUGGAAAGCGGGAGUAAGC